GGAAUCUUGGACAAUGGGGGCAACCCUGAUCCAGCCACGCCGCGUGAGUGAUGAAGGCCUUCGGGUCGUAAAACUCUGUCUAGCGGGACGACUCCCUCGGGUUCAAAUAGGGCCUGAGAUUGACGGUACCGCUGGAGGAAGCACCGGCUAGCUCCGUGCCAGCAGCCGCGGUAAUACGGAGGGUGCAAACGUUGCGCGGAAUUACUGGGCGUAAAGCGCGUGCAGGCGGUUUACUAAGUCUCGUGUGAAAGCCCUGGGCUCAACCCAGGAUGUGCACGGGAUACUGGUAGACUAGAGUGCGGGGGAAGAAGGCGGAAUUCCCGGUGUAGAGGUGAAAUUCGUAGAUAUCGGGAGGAACACCAGAAGCGAAAGCGGCUUUCUAGACCGACACUGACGCUCAGACGCGAAAGCGUGGGUAGCAAAC
rnacentral:rRNA from 1 species